GUGUUCGCUUGGGCAGCACAUAUACUAAGAUUGGAACGAGACAGAGAAGAUUAGCAUGGCUCCUGCGCAAAGAUGACACGCAAAUUCGUGAAAUAGGGCAGCUAGGU